GGGGGUAUAGCUCAGUGGUAGAGCGCUCGCUUCGCAUGUGAGAAGUCAGUUCGGUUACGCUUCGCCCG